UUAAGCGACUAAGCGUACACGGUGGAUGCCCUGGCAGUCAGAGGCGAUGAAGGACGUGCUAAUCUGCGAUAAGCGUCGGUAAGGUGAUAUGAACCGUUAUAACCGGCGAUUUCCGAAUGGGGAAACCCAGUGUGAUUCGUCACACUAUCAUUAACUGAAUCCAUAGGUUAAUGAGGCGAACCGGGGGAACUGAAACAUCUAAGUACCCCGAGGAAAAGAAAUCAACCGAGAUUCCCCCAGUAGCGGCGAGCGAACGGGGAGCAGCCCAGAGCCUGAAUCAGUGUGUGUGUUAGUGGAAGCGUCUGGAAAGGCGCGCGAUACAGGGUGACAGCCCCGUACACAAAAAUGCACAUGCUGUGAGCUCGAUGAGUAGGGCGGGACACGUGGUAUCCUGUCUGAAUAUGGGGGGACCAUCCUCCAAGGCUAAAUACUCCUGACUGACCGAUAGUGAACCAGUACCGUGAGGGAAAGGCGAAAAGAACCCCGGCGAGGGGAGUGAAAAAGAACCUGAAACCGUGUACGUACAAGCAGUGGGAGCACGCUUAGGCGUGUGACUGCGUACCUUUUGUAUAAUGGGUCAGCGACUUAUAUUCUGUAGCAAGGUUAACCGAAUAGGGGAGCCGAAGGGAAACCGAGUCUUAACUGGGCGUUAAGUUGCAGGGUAUAGACCCGAAACCCGGUGAUCUAGCCAUGGGCAGGUUGAAGGUUGGGUAACACUAACUGGAGGACCGAACCGACUAAUGUUGAAAAAUUAGCGGAUGACUUGUGGCUGGGGGUGAAAGGCCAAUCAAACCGGGAGAUAGCUGGUUCUCCCCGAAAGCUAUUUAGGUAGCGCCUCGUGAAUUCAUCUCCGGGGGUAGAGCACUGUUUCGGCAAGGGGGUCAUCCCGACUUACCAACCCGAUGCAAACUGCGAAUACCGGAGAAUGUUAUCACGGGAGACACACGGCGGGUGCUAACGUCCGUCGUGAAGAGGGAAACAACCCAGACCGCCAGCUAAGGUCCCAAAGUCAUGGUUAAGUGGGAAACGAUGUGGGAAGGCCCAGACAGCCAGGAUGUUGGCUUAGAAGCAGCCAUCAUUUAAAGAAAGCGUAAUAGCUCACUGGUCGAGUCGGCCUGCGCGGAAGAUGUAACGGGGCUAAACCAUGCACCGAAGCUGCGGCAGCGACGCUUAUGCGUUGUUGGGUAGGGGAGCGUUCUGUAAGCCUGUGAAGGUGUGCUGUGAGGCAUGCUGGAGGUAUCAGAAGUGCGAAUGCUGACAUAAGUAACGAUAAAGCGGGUGAAAAGCCCGCUCGCCGGAAGACCAAGGGUUCCUGUCCAACGUUAAUCGGGGCAGGGUGAGUCGACCCCUAAGGCGAGGCCGAAAGGCGUAGUCGAUGGGAAACAGGUUAAUAUUCCUGUACUUGGUGUUACUGCGAAGGGGGGACGGAGAAGGCUAUGUUGGCCGGGCGACGGUUGUCCCGGUUUAAGCGUGUAGGCUGGUUUUCCAGGCAAAUCCGGAAAAUCAAGGCUGAGGCGUGAUGACGAGGCACUACGGUGCUGAAGCAACAAAUGCCCUGCUUCCAGGAAAAGCCUCUAAGCAUCAGGUAACAUCAAAUCGUACCCCAAACCGACACAGGUGGUCAGGUAGAGAAUACCAAGGCGCUUGAGAGAACUCGGGUGAAGGAACUAGGCAAAAUGGUGCCGUAACUUCGGGAGAAGGCACGCUGAUAUGUAGGUGAAGUCCCUCGCGGAUGGAGCUGAAAUCAGUCGAAGAUACCAGCUGGCUGCAACUGUUUAUUAAAAACACAGCACUGUGCAAACACGAAAGUGGACGUAUACGGUGUGACGCCUGCCCGGUGCCGGAAGGUUAAUUGAUGGGGUCAGCGCAAGCGAAGCUCUUGAUCGAAGCCCCGGUAAACGGCGGCCGUAACUAUAACGGUCCUAAGGUAGCGAAAUUCCUUGUCGGGUAAGUUCCGACCUGCACGAAUGGCGUAAUGAUGGCCAGGCUGUCUCCACCCGAGACUCAGUGAAAUUGAACUCGCUGUGAAGAUGCAGUGUACCCGCGGCAAGACGGAAAGACCCCGUGAACCUUUACUAUAGCUUGACACUGAACAUUGAGCCUUGAUGUGUAGGAUAGGUGGGAGGCUUAGAAGUGUGGACGCCAGUCUGCAUGGAGCCGACCUUGAAAUACCACCCUUUAAUGUUUGAUGUUCUAACGUUGACCCGUAAUCCGGGUUGCGGACAGUGUCUGGUGGGUAGUUUGACUGGGGCGGUCUCCUCCUAAAGAGUAACGGAGGAGCACGAAGGUUGGCUAAUCCUGGUCGGACAUCAGGAGGUUAGUGCAAUGGCAUAAGCCAGCUUGACUGCGAGCGUGACGGCGCGAGCAGGUGCGAAAGCAGGUCAUAGUGAUCCGGUGGUUCUGAAUGGAAGGGCCAUCGCUCAACGGAUAAAAGGUACUCCGGGGAUAACAGGCUGAUACCGCCCAAGAGUUCAUAUCGACGGCGGUGUUUGGCACCUCGAUGUCGGCUCAUCACAUCCUGGGGCUGAAGUAGGUCCCAAGGGUAUGGCUGUUCGCCAUUUAAAGUGGUACGCGAGCUGGGUUUAGAACGUCGUGAGACAGUUCGGUCCCUAUCUGCCGUGGGCGCUGGAGAACUGAGGGGGGCUGCUCCUAGUACGAGAGGACCGGAGUGGACGCAUCACUGGUGUUCGGGUUGUCAUGCCAAUGGCACUGCCCGGUAGCUAAAUGCGGAAGAGAUAAGUGCUGAAAGCAUCUAAGCACGAAACUUGCCCCGAGAUGAGUUCUCCCUGACUCCUUGAGAGUCCUGAAGGAACGUUGAAGACGACGACGUUGAUAGGCCGGGUGUGUAAGCGCAGCGAUGCGUUGAGCUAACCGGUACUAAUGAACCGUGAGGCUUAACCUU
rnacentral:rRNA from 1 species